AAGUCGUAACAAGGUUUCCGUAGGUGAACCUGCGGAAGGAUCAUUAAAAUGUGACGUACAGCAAAACAAACGACCUGCGAUAUGGUCUCGAUUCAUUGGGUUCGUCGCCUGAAGGCGACUAGAUACCUGGAAAUAGUCUGUGCACGUGUAUCACCGGUUUUUUUACCCGUGCCUAGUCUACUGUCGCGCGCAAACUACUUGACACAGUCCGAGUUAGCGCAAACGUGAGUAGCGCAAACUUUUGAUUACAACCCUGAACGGUGGAUCACUUGGCUCGUGG
rnacentral:misc_RNA from 1 species